GGGUUGUGAGGUUAAGCGACUAAGCGUACACGGUGGAUGCCCUGGCAGUCAGAGGCGAUGAAGGACGUGCUAAUCUGCGAAAAGCGUCGGUAAGGUGAUAUGAACCGUUAUAGCCGGCGAUGUCCGAAUGGGGAAACCCAGUGCAAUUCGUUGCACUAUCGUUAACUGAAUACAUAGGUUAACGAGGCGAACCGGGGGAACUGAAACAUCUAAGUACCCCGAGGAAAAGAAAUCAACCGAGAUUCCCCCAGUAGCGGCGAGCGAACGGGGAGCAGCCCAGAGUCUGAAUCAGCUUGUGUGUUAGUGGAACGGUCUGGAAAGUCCGACGGUACAGGGUGAUAGUCCCGUACACCAAAAUGCACAGGCUGUGAACUCGAAGAGUAGGGCGGGACACGUGGUAUCCUGUCUGAAUAUGGGGGGACCAUCCUCCAAGGCUAAAUACUCCUGACUGACCGAUAGUGAACCAGUACCGUGAGGGAAAGGCGAAAAGAACCCCGGCGAGGGGAGUGAAAAAGAACCUGAAACCGUGUACGUACAAGCAGUGGGAGCACCUUUAUGGUGUGACUGCGUACCUUUUGUAUAAUGGGUCAGCGACUUAUAUUCUGUAGCAAGGUUAACCGUAUAGGGGAGCCGCAGGGAAACCGAGUCUUAACUGGGCGUUAAGUUGCAGGGUAUAGACCCGAAACCCGGUGAUCUAGCCAUGGGCAGGUUGAAGGUUGGGUAACACUAACUGGAGGACCGAACCGACUAAUGUUGAAAAAUUAGCGGAUGACUUGUGGCUGGGGGUGAAAGGCCAAUCAAACCGGGAGAUAGCUGGUUCUCCCCGAAAGCUAUUUAGGUAGCGCCUCGUGAACUCAUCUUCGGGGGUAGAGCACUGUUUCGGCUAGGGGGUCAUCCCGACUUACCAACCCGAUGCAAACUACGAAUACCGAAGAAUGUUAUCACGGGAGACACACGGCGGGUGCUAACGUCCGUCGUGAAGAGGGAAACAACCCAGACCGCCAGCUAAGGUCCCAAAGUCAUGGUUAAGUGGGAAACGAUGUGGGAAGGCACAGACAGCCAGGAUGUUGGCUUAGAAGCAGCCAUCAUUUAAAGAAAGCGUAAUAGCUCACUGGUCGAGUCGGCCUGCGCGGAAGAUGUAACGGGGCUAAACCAUGCACCGAAGCUGCGGCAGCGACACUAUGUGUUGUUGGGUAGGGGAGCGUUCUGUAAGCCUGCGAAGGUGUGCUGUGAGGCAUGCUGGAGGUAUCAGAAGUGCGAAUGCUGACAUAAGUAACGAUAAAGCGGGUGAAAAGCCCGCUCGCCGGAAGACCAAGGGUUCCUGUCCAACGUUAAUCGGGGCAGGGUGAGUCGACCCCUAAGGCGAGGCCGAAAGGCGUAGUCGAUGGGAAACAGGUUAAUAUUCCUGUACUUGGUGUUACUGCGAAGGGGGGACGGAGAAGGCUAUGUUAGCCGGGCGACGGUUGUCCCGGUUUAAGCAUGUAGGCUGAUUGUCCAGGCAAAUCCGGAUAAUCAAGGCUGAGGUGUGAUGACGAGGCACUACGGUGCUGAAGUAACAAAUGCCCUGCUUCCAGGAAAAGCCUCUAAGCAUCAGGUAACAUUAAAUCGUACCCCAAACCGACACAGGUGGUCAGGUAGAGAAUACCAAGGCGCUUGAGAGAACUCGGGUGAAGGAACUAGGCAAAAUGGUGCCGUAACUUCGGGAGAAGGCACGCUGGUGUGUAGGUGAAGUCCCUGCGGAUGGAGCUGAGACCAGUCGAAGAUACCAGCUGGCUGCAACUGUUUAUUAAAAACACAGCACUGUGCAAACACGAAAGUGGACGUAUACGGUGUGACGCCUGCCCGGUGCCGGAAGGUUAAUUGAUGGGGUUAUCCGUAAGGAGAAGCUCUUGAUCGAAGCCCCGGUAAACGGCGGCCGUAACUAUAACGGUCCUAAGGUAGCGAAAUUCCUUGUCGGGUAAGUUCCGACCUGCACGAAUGGCGUAAUGAUGGCCAGGCUGUCUCCACCCGAGACUCAGUGAAAUUGAACUCGCUGUGAAGAUGCAGUGUACCCGCGGCAAGACGGAAAGACCCCGUGAACCUUUACUAUAGCUUGACACUGAACAUUGAGCCUUGAUGUGUAGGAUAGGUGGGAGGCUUUGAAGCGUGGACGCCAGUCUGCGUGGAGCCAACCUUGAAAUACCACCCUUUAAUGUUUGAUGUUCUAACGUUGGCCCCUUACCGGGGUUGCGGACAGUGUCUGGUGGGUAGUUUGACUGGGGCGGUCUCCUCCCAAAGCGUAACGGAGGAGCACGAAGGUUAGCUAAUCCUGGUCGGACAUCAGGAGGUUAGUGCAAUGGCAUAAGCUAGCUUGACUGCGAGCGUGACGGCGCGAGCAGGUGCGAAAGCAGGUCAUAGUGAUCCGGUGGUUCUGAAUGGAAGGGCCAUCGCUCAACGGAUAAAAGGUACUCCGGGGAUAACAGGCUGAUACCGCCCAAGAGUUCAUAUCGACGGCGGUGUUUGGCACCUCGAUGUCGGCUCAUCACAUCCUGGGGCUGAAGUAGGUCCCAAGGGUAUGGCUGUUCGCCAUUUAAAGUGGUACGCGAGCUGGGUUUAGAACGUCGUGAGACAGUUCGGUCCCUAUCUGCCGUGGGCGCUGGAGAAUUGAGGGGGGCUGCUCCUAGUACGAGAGGACCGGAGUGGACGCAUCACUGGUGUUCGGGUUGUCAUGCCAAUGGCACUGCCCGGUAGCUAAAUGCGGAAGAGAUAAGUGCUGAAAGCAUCUAAGCACGAAACUUGCCCCGAGAUGAGUUCUCCCUGAGACUUUAAGUCUCCUGAAGGAACGUUAAAGACGAUGACGUUGAUAGGCCGGGUGUGUAAGCGCAGCGAUGCGUUGAGCUAACCGGUACUAAUGAACCGUGAGGCUUAACCUUACAACGCCGAAG
rnacentral:rRNA from 1 species